GGUCCCCCGCCCAAUGCAAUUGGAUGUGGCAGCAGAACAUGUGGGUGCGUGACAACAGGUUUACUAUUUAGUUUUACUAUUUGCUUGUUUGUCCGCGGAAAGUUGGAGAGCGAACUGGUAAGAGUAUUGAGGCACAUGUAGGGCGAGUUUGCAGCUGGAAAUUCUAUAAUUUGGAGGAACCGCGAACCAUGCUGACAUUUUCUAUGGCAAGCGAGUACCCAGCUAAGUAGGUUUUUUUUUUUUUUUUCAAUUUCCAGAACGGGAAGGGUUUUUGAGACUGUGCAGCGAGUGAGUGCAAGUUCGACCGGACAGGCUGUACUUGAAACCUGGAGAGAAACUAGGCCUACAUUGGAUGUACUCAUCCAUUUCCCAAAGGAAAUAGUUUUUAACACGCAAAACUCCAUUCUCCUCCACAAUAAUUACAUUCUCUGCAAAAGUCGUGAGUACGCUAACCACUGAGCUCCAACGGAAUAAGCGCGCCAAGGGGAACCGACCUGGCACUUCCUUUACACAGCUAUUAAUGAAGAGCUCUCCAGCUAAAUACAUCUUUAUUCUGCCAUUAACUGCAGAGCCUGAAGUAGGCAGUGAAGAGGGAGGGAGUCCUGAAGCCCUUCAAAGUCAAGGCAUUUAACGCCACUCUCACAUCAAUCAGACCCUCUGUCCAAGAUGAAAAUGAGGAACAACCUGGGGUGCAAUUAAAGAGGGGGCUGAGGAGGCCAUGCUAUCUCCGGCUCUGAGAGGAGGAGUGAACACGCCAAGAGAGCCAGGCACAGCCAGAAGAAAGGGAAUGAACUUUUUGACACUGUCUGGAGGGCUAUUAGCGUCUCUUGUCCUCUCUCCAAGCAGCCUUCAGAUGUCAAGCCGACGCUUUUUUCGGUAAUUUGUAUGUACACAGAAUGAUACAUUACAUGUCAUCAGGCAGAAGAAAGCAAUGGCUCUGACUGCCCGCUAUGUGAUGGGAUCUGUAUG